AGAUUGAACGCUGGCGGCAGGCCUAACACAUGCAAGUCGAGCGGUAGAGAGGUGCUUGCACCUCUUGAGAGCGGCGGACGGGUGAGUAAUGCCUAGGAAUCUGCCUAGUGGUGGGGGAUAACGUUCGGAAACGGACGCUAAUACCGCAUACGUCCUACGGGAGAAAGCGGGGGACCUUCGGGCCUCGCGCCAUUAGAUGAGCCUAGGUCGGAUUAGCUAGUUGGUGAGGUAUGGCUCACCAAGGCGACGAUCCGUAACUGGUCUGAGAGGAUGAUCAGUCACACGUGGAACUGACGACACGGUCCAGACUCCGUACGGGAGCAGCGAGGUGGGAAUGUUAGGACAAGUGGGACGAAGCCUAGACUCCGAGCCAGUCGCCGCGUGUGAGAAGUACGUUCGUUACGGAUUAG
rnacentral:rRNA from 1 species